AACAAGUCAAGCAUGGAAGAAAAGCGUAGCUCGGAUGCAAGGUACUUUGUGGAAGCCGGAAGACGAUCAAGCUCAACGAAGAACCGAACACGAUACAGUUACAUGCUUCCGCACUUCGCCACGUUGUCAAUUUUAAACAACGAACUUCGAUCACGUUAUGUAGAAUAAUUUAUAAUUUGUAAAAGUUUUAAAUAAA